GAAUACCAGUCUCCUGGCGGCGGCUGGCACAGCGGAGCUGCUCUCCAAGCAGCGGGGUUCCCAGGCUGGGAAGUUUGCAUUGCCGUUUCUUUGCGGGCGGGCGGCGAGCGCCGACUGCAUGCCACCUGCGAGAGGAAGAGGCCGGUGAAGUCUCACUCUGUUGCCCAGGCUGGAGUGCAGUGGCACGAUCUCGGCUCGCUGCAACCUCCACCUCCCAGGUUCAAGCGAUCCUUCUGUUUCAGCCUCUCCAGUGGCUGGUAUUACAGGAACACACCACCAUGCCUGGCUAAUGCUUCUCUUUCUAUAAAUGAAGACGUGAGGCCGUGUAAGCUCCAAGAGAGCAGGGAUCUUGUUUGUCUUGGUCACCGUGAUAUUUCAGCUGCUGACCCAGUGCUUGAAGCAUACAAUCUGGAGUCUCCACAACUUUCUUCAUGGAACCACCACCAGGCCCCUUCUGUAGGCUUCUUAUGGAGGCUGAAGGUGUCUACAUGGCAGCAUAAAAUAGUAAUUAAGGACUCUGGAGUCACUGCCCAGGCUCAAAUCCCUGCUGCAAAUUGCGAGGUCUUUGAAGAGAAACUGAGGCCCAUAAAAUUGAAUGGCUCAUCUCAGAUCAAGUGGCCAGAUCAAUGAAGAGAAGUGUCCUUAGGUCCGGCUGCUGGUGUGAAGUAUGCUCUGGAGGUCUGACAUCCACUCUCCCUCAGACUUUCUAAUACGGCAGGAAUUCCGUCCAUGAACUUUAUAAUAAACUGGAGCUAAAUCUGUCAGAAAAUGGAAGAAAUCUGGAUAGCAUUUCAGGAGCACUGGCAAAUGCCUACUCCUUACUUCCUAAUCCCAAACUGUCACACUGUGGCUGCACAUGUGCCCAAGCCCUUGUAUACUCAAGCUAGAGUUGCCAGAUGAAAUGGAGGACAUGGCUGGGUGCGGUGGCUCAGCUCGGAGCAGUGGCUCACGCCUGUAAUCCCAGCACUUUGGGAGGCCGAGGUGGGCUGAUGGCCUGAGGUCAGGAGUUCAAAACCAGCGUGGCCAACAAGAUGUGCCAGUUCUGGUAAAUUUCCUAGCAAGCUUGAAGGAAGUGAAGGACAACUGCAAGGAAGGGCAGGAUGGAGCAUGCAGCCCACGUAUUCCCCAGCUUGGUGGGGCAGAAUGCGUUCUUGGCUCCUGAGGAAUGGGCAGGCAACGCACAGGGGUCCUGGGAAGAAAGGGAGAGAAUAUCCUGGGAGAGCCAUAGACCCUGGCACCCUCCUGUGGUCCUUCAUCAGGAUAAAUUUCUAAAAGAAGAAUUACUGGCCAAAGGAUUCCUCUUCAGUUGGAAACAGCAGCAAAGUUCACAGGUCGUGAGUGGAUGUAAAGUGGACGGAACAGGUUGUUGCCAGUCUAUUGGAGUAGGAUGGUAGAUGAGCAGUCCCGUUGGCUAACAGCAGGGGACCCUGGGGCACUCGUCUCCAGCUCUGCCUCACUCUUUGAGGAGCUAGUUCCAGUUCUACUGUGAGUGUGCAAGGGGCUGGUCAGCUGUAGCAAAACCAGCACUGGACAUGGGGGAUCAGAAGACCCCGGCACACAUAGUUCAAGUUGUGACACAUAUUGAUUCUGAGCUGCUCUCCUUGGAGUCACAUUCUUUCCCAGUGUGUGAACAUCUGUGUGCAGUGAGAGACAUGCCUGAUGGGGAUCUGUUGCCUGAAGCCAGUGUGAAGGCAGGAAAAGGCUUGUUGGAAUUUAAAUACGACCAAUCAAAAUGUGUUUAGGCUUCAAAGGAAAAAGUUCUCCAUAAAUACACCAGAAUUUCAUUCUAACAUGAUUCAUUCAUUCAAAGAGCACAGCUGCACAAGGGGAAGACAGCUGCCACAUGGUAACGCAGUCCUGUAAAGAGUCCCAUGUGGUGAGAGACGUGGUUGGGAGUGAGCUUGGAAGUGGAUCCCCAACCCUCGUCCCCAAACUGAGACUUCACAUGAGACUGCAGCUCUGGCCAACAGCUUCACUGUAACCUCACAACAGACCUUGAGCCACAAGCACCCAGCUAAGCUGCAGGGAGACCCCCUGAAACUAUUGCUACGGAAUAAAAGAUGAAAUGCUCCUGAUUAUUGUAAAUACAAAGUUGCAUGCAGGAUUGUGUAAAGACAAUGCCAGGUUGGACUGCCAGAAUGAGCCAACUGCACGUGAUGUGAUUCCCCCUGCAGAGAGCCUAUGAAUGGACGUGCAGUCAGGGAGGUUUCACAUCACCAAGAUUCCUAUCCUAGAAAGGCAGAUGUUCAUAGCUCUAGGAAUGGAAUGCGACCCUUGUGGAGAGCCUAUAAACGGAUGCAUGGGGGUGGGGCGCCUGUCCAUAUGGAUAAGAUAGGGCUAGAAACGCCCUCAUCUUGCCACAGCUCUUCUAGGCCUCUUUAGGGUUAAGGCAUACUCCCUUCUGAGAAUUUCUGGUCUAACUGGUUGUCUAGCUUCACAUCCUGUUUCCGUGGAUUGUUUGUAACCAGCUUUUGUUGCAAUUGUUACUGCUGAUUAAUAUCUUGCUAAUCAUAGGUUAUGGAAAGAUUGUGCUUCUGUUUUAAGGCUCUGUUAGAAAUUACUGACGCACACACUAUAUUGUAAAUUCUUAUCUCUCUAUGCUGUACUUCUACAUACAAAUGUACUGUACUUCUACAUACAAAUGUACUGUACUUCUACAUACAAAUGUUAUGUUAAUUACUUCAUCCCCAUGUGACCAUCUCACCUCAUAAUCAAAUGACCCUAAAUCCCUCACUAACCAACCCCCACCCUCACUUAACUUAAUAAUAAACGCUGGUAUAUCCAGAGCAUUGUUGGCACCAUGGGACCAGAAGGCGGUGACCCCCCUGGACCCAGCUUUCACUAUCUUGUGUGUGUCUAUUAUUUCCCAACCUGCUGAUCUGCCUGGGAACAAAGAGAGAGCCCCAUUGCAUUGUGGGCUGCUGACCAGAUCCUGAAGAUGCAUGCAACAACGAGACAGAGAAAUUUGCUGAAAAAGCACCACAGCAGGAAACAACUAACACAUCCAAUCAUCAAAAAGAAGAAAAGACCACGCUAACUCCUUUACAACAGACAAUCCAGACAGCCAUCCUGAACAACUUGUCUCCAGCGAUCCAGGUCUGGCUCAACCUCUGCCUCCUCCUGAUGACACUGAUCCUUCUACCUCUGUUACGCCACAGACUGUUAAAAACUAUACAUAUUGGGCCUAUAUUCCUUUUCCUCCUCUUAUUCGAGCCGUGACAUGGAUGGAUGCUCCUAUCGAGGUCUAUGUUAAUGAUAGUAUUUGGAUGCCUGGUUCUCUAGAUGAUCGUUGUCCUGCACAACCUUCAGAAGAAGGAACCCCUUUCAAUAUCACUUUAGGUUUUAGGUAUCCACCUUUCUGCCUGGGACCCACUAAUGUAUGUCUCUCAUUAGAUAUUCAAACUUGGGCUGUCACACUACCGUCUGGUCACUCUGUCCCUCCUUUAGGACACUUGAUAUCAGGGCUCUCAUUAAAACCUCUAAGGCAGAUCAAAACAGUAAUCACUGAUUAUAUUCACACAUCCCAAUAUAAGCCUUUAGACCUGUGUGUCCUCUCAACUUGUCUUCAAAUGCUGACAAAAUUAAUAUGGAAAGACUGUGUUAGCUCAGAAGGAACCGUGUUAUUUAAUUCUUCUCACUACACCAUUGUUGAUUGGGCUCCUAAAGGUCAUAUUACUAAUGAUUGCUCUCAAGGUCACAGAGAUUGUCAACAUUUUCUCUAUAAUAUUACUUAUCAAAAACGUAGUGACAGCCCUCCCCUAUUAUAUCGUAGAUUUAACUCCUUUUUUCCUCUUAAGUGGAAAGGGGCAGGGGUUGCGCCUCCAAAGCCAAGGCUCAUUGUUCCCCACAUAGGACCUGAACAUUCCAAAUUAUGGAGAUUAACAAUAGCUAUGACUGGUAUGAGAGUUUGGGCUGGAGAAAGUGUUAUAAGUAAAUCCACUUUGUCACCUCAAAAUGUAUAUACUCUCUAUAUGGAGUCCAACAAAACUAUACCACUUAAAAGUUGUGUUAAACCACCAUAUAUGUUAUUAGCAGGAAAGUUGCAUAUUAGUUCAAAAACCAACAUAAUUACCUGUGUUAAUUGUUACUUGUAUACUUGUAUUGACUCAUCCUUUAAUCAAUAUCAUAGUAUUUUAAUAGUCAGAGCCAGACAAGAUAUUUGGCUCCCUGUAGCCUUACAUAGGCCUUGGGAAUCUUCCCCCUUUAUCCAUGUUAUUAACAAUAUUCUAUAGAAAAUUCUUAAAAGGAGUAAACAAUUUAUUUUUACAUUAAUUGCAAUAAUAAUGGGCUUGAUUGCUGUUACUGUGAUUGCUGCUACUGCUGGAGUUGCAUUACGUCCAUCUAUUCAAACUGUUCAUUUUGUGGAUAAAUGGCAAAAAAAUUCUACUCGGAUGUGGAAUUCUCAGGUAUUGAUCAAAAAUUGGCUAAUCAAAUUAAUGAUCUAAGACAAACUGUUAUAUGGAUGGGAGGUAGAAUUAUGAGUUUAGAACAUAGAUUACAAAUGCAAUGUGAUUGGAAUACUUCUGAUUUUUGUAUAACUCCAUUUCAAUAUAAUGAGUCUGUUCACAAUUGGGAAUCAGUAAAAUGCCAUUUACAAGGAAGUGAAGAUAAUUUAAAGCUUUAGACAUAAGCAAACUAAAAGAACAGAUUUUUGAGGCCUCUCAAGCACACUUAACUGCUUUACCCGGUGCUGAAGUUUUAGACGGUAUCUCUGAGGGAUUAUCUAAUCUCAACCCCAUUCAAUAGGUAAAAUCUUUGGGAGGAUCCACUAUCGUUAAUUUUGUUCUGUGUAUAAUUUGUACUAUUGGUUUAUUGUUCAUGUGUAAAAUUGGAAAAAAUAUUCUUCAGUCCAAUUGUGAUCAGUGCCAAGCUAUGAUUGCUAUGGUUCAUUUAAAUCAGAGAGAAGGGGGAGAUGUAAGGAGACCCCCUGAAACUGUUGCUAUGGAAUAAAAGAUGAAAUGCUCCUGAUUAUUGUAAAUACAAAGUUGCAUGCAGGAUUGUGUAAAGACAAUGCCAGGUUGGACUGCCAGAAUGAGCCAACUGCACGUGAUGUGAUUCCCCCUGCAGAGAGCCUAUGAAUGGACGUGCAGUCAGGGAGGUUUCACAUCACCAAGAUUCCUAUCCUAGAAAGGCAGAUGUUCAUAGCUCUAGGAAUGGAAUGCGACCCUUGUGGAGAGCCUAUAAACGGAUGCAUGGGGAGGUGGCUGUCCGUAUGGAUAAGAUAGGGCUAUAAACGCCCUCAUCUUGCCACAGCUCUUCUAGGCCUCUUUAGGGUUAAGGCAUACUCCCUUCUGGGAAUUUCUGGUCUAACCGGUUGUCUAGCUUCACGUCCUGUUUCCAUGGAUUGUUUGUAACCAGCUUUUGUUGCAAUUGUUACUGCUGAUUAAUAUCUUGCUAAUCAUAGGUUAUGGAAAGAUUGUGUUUCUGUUUUAAGGCUCUGUUAGAAAUUACUGACACACACACUAUAUUGUAAAUUCUUAUCUCUCUAUACUGUACUUCUACAUACAAAUGUACUGUACUUCUACAUACAAAUGUUAUGUGAAAGAAUUACUUCAUCCCCAUGUGACCAUCUCACCUCAUAAUCAAAUGACCCUAAAUCCCUCACUAACCUACCCCCACCCUCACUAAACUUAAUAAUAAACGCUGGUAUAUCCAGUGCAUUGUUGGCACCAUGGGACC
rnacentral:lncRNA from 1 species